rnacentral:rRNA from 1 species
UCGAGAAUCUUCGGCAAUGGACGCAAGUCUGACCGAGCGACGCCGCGUGUGGGAUGAAGGCCUUCGGGUUGUAAACCACUGUCAGAGGGGAUGAAAUGCAGGUGGGUACUCCCAUUUGUUUGACAUAGCCUCAGAGGAAGUACGGGCUAAGUUCGUGCCAGCAGCCGCGGUAAGACGAACCGUACGAACGUUAUUCGGAAUUACUGGGCUUAAAGGGUGCGUAGGCGGCGCGGAAAGUAGGGUGUGAAAUCCCUCGGCUCAACCGAGGAACUGCGCUCUAAACUACCGUGCUCGAGGGAGAUAGAGGUGAGCGGAACUGAGGGUGGAGCGGUGAAAUGCGUUGAUAUCCUCAGGAACACCGGUGGCGAAAGCGGCUCACUGGAUCUCUUCUGACGCUGAGGCACGAAAGCUAGGGUAGCGAACGG